CUCCUUCAAACGAUCCAAUCCACUCACAAAAACAUUCUCGAAAGAAUUUGCUUCAUUUUGAUGCCUAAACACAUCUUGAUCUUCAGGUUUCUUUCCCUUAACAAGAUAACAUCCAAUGCCCUUUGAGUAACAAAUGCCUCCUUUCGGCCCCGAGGAACAUGCAUGCUAGCUUCCUUGCGCCUGCCAGGGAUCUGUUCCCAAUGAAAAGGAAUUGCAACUGGUUCUGUUACUUGAUCUAAAUUGAAAUCCGAAUUAUGAGAACGAAGAGUCUGGCGUCUAUUGAGGUGGGAGUUUUCGAAUUUUUCCCUAUUUGCUCCAUUUGAAGAUUUUGUUGGAGUAGAAGAUCUCCUAACUGACAAAAGCGGCACAUUGAAAUUCAACUUCCUUUCCUCCAUCACUGCUCGCUCCACUAUCAAGCAAAUUCAAAAAUCACCAAUUUCAAAUCAUUGCUUACACAAAAGGAUCCAGGCGAGUUCCUCCAUAUCCCAAUCCUCCAGAAAAAAAAUCUUGCAUGAUCAAAGAAAAACUUGAAAAGAUUUUAGUUUCGUUGAAGUU
rnacentral:misc_RNA from 1 species